UAGCUUGCUAAUUAAGAUCUUAGUGGCGGACGGGUUAGUAACACGUGAGAACCUACCCUUUAGACAGGAAUAGCCCAUGGAAACGUGGAUUAAUGCCUGAUAGUCUCUACGGAGUAAAUGGUGCCUUCUGGUAUCGCUAGAGGAUGGGCUCGCGGCCUAUCAGCUUGUUGGUGAGGUAAAGGCUCACCAAGGCGACGACGGGUAGCUGGUCUGAGAGGACGAUCAGCAACACUGGAACUGAGACACGGUCCAGACACCUACGGGUGGCAGCAGUCGAGAAUCAUUCACAAUGGAGGCAACUCUGAUGGUGCAACGCCGCGUGGAGGAUGACGGUCCUAGGAUUGUAAACUCCUGUCAUUGGGGAGUAAGACUUAAGCGUUAAGAGCGUUUAAGUUUGAUAGUACCCAAAGAGGAAGGGACGGCUAACUUCGUGCCAGCAGCCGCGGUAAUACGAAGGUCCCAAGCGUUGUUCGGAAUCACUGGGCGUAAAGCGUGUGUAGGCUGCGCGGAAAGUCAAAUGUGAAAGCCCGGGGCUCAACCUCGGAACUGCAUUCGAUACUCCCGUGCUAGAGUAAUGGAGAGGUAAGUGGAAUUCCUGGUGUAGCAGUGAAAUGCGUGGAUAUCAGGAGGAACAUCAAUGGCGAAGGCAACUUACUGGACAUUUACUGACGCUCAGACACGAAGGCUAGGGUAGCGAAAGGGAUUAGAUACCCCUGUAGUCCUAGCAGUAAACGGUGCUCGCUUGGUGUGGGAGGAUUCGACCCCUUCUGUGCCGGAGCUAACGCG
rnacentral:rRNA from 7 species